rnacentral:lncRNA from 1 species
CUACAAAUCGGUUUUUUGCAAUUAUCGUACUACGUUGGGCCAACAUUUGUCCAAUGUAGUUAAGCUAAGAUUUUGCAAUAAAAAUCUGUUCUUACUUUACACCGUAGCCAAUGUAGUUGUGGAUUAGUUUAUAUUUUUAAAUUUGUUGCAAAACAAUUUUAAAAAUGGCAUUGUUUGACAGAAUUAAAAAAGUGCAAUCUGUAUCUCAAACAUUAUGGAGAAUUGUUUUGUGUCAGUGCCAGAAAUUGAAUGCACACCUGAAAAUUUCAUAAUUCAUAAAAAUAUUAUGAAUCCAUUAGCAAUUGUAUCCUUGAAAGAAUGCUGGUAUUAUUAGCACAAUUGGCAAGCAUUGAAGUGCAACUUGGUGAACUACAAAACUCAUCAAAGGCAGUUAUAAAAAUUUGAGUAACGAAGGUAUGCUAAUUAUUGUAUUGCCUGAGUGUCAUUGCCAUUGAAAGCAGUGAAGAAUUCAAGUACUUUGGAAGAAAAAAGACAAGAAAAUACUUAAGUAAAUGGUAAAUAUUUUUUUAUGAUCUUUUUAUGCAUUUUGUAUGAUAUCUUAGUACAAUUUAUAUACUUUAAAUAAAAUACCCUUUGAAGAUUUUUUGUAAAUGACAUUUUAUAUUAAUUUAAGUCUAAACUAAAGUUACUUUAAUUAUUGCGAUGUUAAUUAUUUGCCACAAAUUGGAGUUGUAUAUGUUAAAAGACACAAAAGAGAUUGUAUAUGUUAUUUACUAAGAGUAGUUUUUUAAAAUGACCUAGCUGUAAAAUUAAACUAUGCAGGGAGAGGACAAAAAAUUGGAAUAGGAAAAAUGUUGCUUGCAAUGUUGCUAUUGGUAAGUUGUUUAGAAAAGUUUAUUUUUUCAGUUUCAAUUUUGCAUUACAGAAUUACUUUAAAUUUGUUAUGUUUCUUUGGUACAUAAUUAAACAAACAACUAUUUUUUUUUUUGCAGAAACUG